ACUCUUCUUCCAUCUUAUCACAAGGAAGGCUGGUGCCUCCUGUGGCAGCUCUAUUUAUAGCUCCCUUACUCCCCUUCCCCUCUCUCACAGGCAUGCAAGAGAUUGAAAGCUGGGGUCUCCUGCAUAGGGAAGGAUGUCCAACAGAAUGCUAUACUGAGGUGCACUGAGAAAAAAUAAAUUCCACACCAGAGAUAUGAUUUUUCUAUUAACCCUCUAACCCCAAACUUCUUCAGGGACUUCUUCUUUUCCUACGAGUUUCUACAGAAUUCCUCCAUAAGAGCUGAAGAAGUUUGCAGAAAUAAGUCGUUCAUGUCAGUAUUUCCUAAUGCUUAUAAAACUGUUCAUUGUUUUUAAAAAUUGAUUCCUUUUAAAUAUAUAAUCAAGUUAGAGAGGAGAUCUUUUGAAGCUUCAAGGAUUAUCUUGCAGAGCUGUUCAUUACCGAGCUCUGGUAAAACUCCAGCCCUGUGUGUUUCCAGUACAAGCUUCCAGGAAAAAAAGGCUUCCCAGAGCUGGUAUCACACACAGUACUCAGCAGAAAGCUGACGUUUAACAAGACUGGAACAUCAAAUAAAAUUGUGUAUUAUAGACUGGACAUUCACUGGCCUACACGGAGCAAGUACUUUGCAGCCACAGUUACCAGCAGAAAAACCCGCCUGUAAAACUGUCACUGGUACAGGCAGGGGCAAGGAGACAAGCAUUGUUAAUCAAACUUUCUGAAACAUGAAAAGAAUCAAUUUAGUAUGCAGCGAGUGUUGAAGACAGCUCUGAGCAGGAACAUGCCUCCGUGCUCCAAAGGGAGACUUCCCACAUUUUGAUUGCACGAGUACUUGGAAGAGCAAUAUGCAGAGCGCUGCCAUCAGGGUCGCAUUUGCCAUUUGCAAUCAAACACAGCCUAAUGCAACACUGCUCCUUGUUCUGUUAUUUUUAUUUAUUUAUUUUUUCCUCCAUAUGAAAUUUUCUCUCCCUCAGUCUUCCUCUAUUUAUUGUAUCCUUUCAGGCAUUAAUUUCAUCACUGCUAAAUAUAAUUUCCUACCAACUGAGAUGGAAUGACAGUCAGGCCAGGAUUUACACUUCCAGUUUAAUAAAACCAGUGAGAAUGAUUUUUAAAUCAAUGCAGGAAGGGAAUUUCAAGGAACCCUGGGUUCAUGGCCAUGAUUGCAUAGGAUGGAAGUAAUAACUUUGAUUUGCUUUGAUGUGGAGAGUUUUCUCAUGAUUCUCACGCAACAACAGUUGUCCUGAAGUGCUGCUUUAUAAUGCCUAAUCUAAAACCAGUGACUUUCACUAAUGGUAGAACCACAGCUUAACAAGACUGUUCUUUCUUCUCUACCCAGAGCAUUUCACUACCUUUUCCUUUGCAAAUGUGCUUUCUUCUAAAA